AAGGAUGUAGCUAGAUUGGUAUAGCACUAUGUAUGACAUUCUAGAGGGUUGGGGUUCAAUUCCUCGCAUCUUCA
rnacentral:tRNA from 1 species